AAGGAACUUCAGUGGCACCAGAUGCUCUCCGUGCACUGUUGGUAGCAUUAGUGCCACUUGCGAAGGCUUCCCCUGCUCUGGCAAAGGCAACAGCUGUGCCAACACCUUUCUGCUGUGAGUGUCCCUCACGCUGGGAAGCUGCCUCUCCUCUUGCCGUUGUGCUGGGAAGGGCGGGUGACCGGCUCGCUGACGUGUACAUGCGGGUGCCAAGGACAAGGCUAAGAGUGUUUCAGCUCGGGCGAUGAAUGAAACUGGCCCAGUUAGAUCCACGUGGGGAUGGAUUUUGCCCGUAUCAUGCAGGUCUUAAACCGCUCCGCUAAGGCUUAGCUGCUACCACAGCAUGGACCCUGGCCCAGGAGGAGAAGUGUGACGUGAAGGUGACGGCCACAGAGCACGAGCUUCUGUGUCCAGCGGUGGAUGGGAAAAAAUCCAGAGGAGCUUCCAUUUGUGGACAUCAGUGACAGAUGUUGGCUCUGCUGAAGAUACUAUAAACUCUUUCACAUGUAGGACAGGCAGCUUGCGUUUUAACUGCUAUGAGGAGGUGAAUACAGCAGUCCUGGAAGCACUGCCUGACUCCGAGAAGGAGAACUGGUAGGACACAUUGUAUCCUGGAGGUGUGUGGUACGACUGAAGAGCAAAUACCAUCUUAAGGAGCAUCUUUCAGAAGUGGUUAGAUUUCCAAAGGGAGAAAAUAGCAUAUCUUUUAAAAAGUCUCAGGCUUCUUGUCUCUUCUGCACAGUCCUGUAUUUAAACAUUUUUUUCAAUAAUUGCAAAUCUAGUCAAGCUGAUUCACUGUCAUAUGCACAGGAGACAGGUAGUUGCACAUAAUCCAUCUCACUUCAGCAAAUAUCAGUGCUCUACCCACUGCCUCAGCGGUAAGGGAAAUCCUUCAGACUCCUUGGUGAUGGACCAAAAUGAUAAGUCAAAGUCUUAAUAGACUGUCAAUGGGAAAAUAAUAGUGAUGCACCUCGAAUGCCAAGACAAGACAGAAAAAGAAAGCACAUGGACAGUGUGGAGCCCCUAAUAAAGCAUAAAAGAAAGCUCUUCAGUCUAAAACACACUGCUGCACUGUUGCAAUGAACAUCUGAAGGAAGGAGGAGUCCUAAAGCUUUGCAAAUGAGCAUUUAGCAGACAAAUAUGGAGCACAUUUGGCCAAAAUAGAAGUAAGCCUGGAAGUUGCAAAGUUGCAAAAAACAAACAAAAAUUUCCUGCAAAAGCAACAAAACAACUUCAAAUGCAAAUGGACACCAUCGUAUCUCCUGUCCUGCCAUCUUUCAGGAUCAGUGCAUGGACUGUGAUCAAGAACAUUUCUUGCAGCAAGAAAACUGUAAGAAAGCUGCAGCAAGAUCCCAGCAGAGCAUCCUCCGGAUACAGGAGUUUCACUGCGAUGUGCUGCUGAGAGCACUGAGCAUGGCUGUAUUCAACACUGAUGAAACACAUGAUCUGAAGAAAGCUAGAUUUCACACUGAAUCAUGCUUCUCUGUAUCCUACCUUUUAGAAAAAUUAUCUUCAUAAUAUUUGAAUGUGUCAUGUAAAAUUUCAUGGUUGAUUUCUAUAAUGUUUUGAAAUAUUUAACUUUUUUUGCAGUAAAUACUGAUAUUAGAAAGCUCUUGUCUUAGCAAGUGACAUUAACAAAGAAUAGUCUCUCUAAAAAAAAAAUCCAGCUCAGCAAUGAGAAUUUUUAAGAAUAUUUAGAGCAGGGACAAAAUAGAUACUCUCUGAUGUCUCCCUCCCAUCAGGCUAAACCAGUGACUCUGAAACGGCUGUGUCAGCAGCUGCCCCAUCACAACUUGCUUGCGCUGGGAAAGCUGCAGACCUUGCCCCUUGGGUGCACAGAGGCACAGAUGGUGAUUGCUUUAAACAUCACCGAGGCAAGCGACCUUCUGUCCUCUGACAUGCUGGAAACGAUUAAACACAGCACCAAGUGGACCAAGAUGAGAGGAUUUGGUCUUGGAUUUUGCUUCAGCUUUGACAGUGCUUGGAUUUUGCUUGAUUCCCUGGAUUUUCCUUCACAGUUGUGACGUACCUUUCAUUCCUGGAAACGCAGCAGCCUCUGAACCACUGUAACCCUGUGUAAGUGUAAUGAAGCGGGUGACGGCUGCCAGCCAUGGGUGCUGUUUUCUGGCUUUGGCAGUACUUGGACCUCCUUGGCCUGGAAGCAGGGCCAUCUUCUCCUGUGGCCACCUGGCCUGCAGAAGUCAACGGGCAUUUUUACUUCUUUACACCUUGCAGGCCUGCAGCCAGGCUAUCUCCAGAGCCAAGCUGUUUCAGGAAAUCGCCGUCCCUCAUAUUUCUGAAGCGUUUCGCAGUGUGGUCCCUAAGCCAUGAAGCUUCAUGAAACCUGGAAGAAACCAAUGACGACAUCCAUUGUAUCAAAUCUGGUGAAACACAGUGAAAGACUUCAAAAGGAAGACAAGAUGACUGACAGAGGAAGGGAGAGCUGCCUGUGCAACUCUGAAUAGCUCAUUUUCUGAGGAAGCAGCCUAAAAAAGUUCCCAUUAUUAACAGUAUAAUUGAAAAUUGGAUGUUUGUGAGACAAAACAGUGAAAACAAGUGCACUCUAAAAUAAGGAGGUGAGCAGCAUGCAGUCAUUGUCAUAAUAAAUCACGAAGUACACAAUUCUGCGAGACUUAAUGGAUUACUAGAGAACAGAGGGGCCUUGGUACAAGUCAAGGAGUUUCAGCAAGCAAAAUGAACUACGGAGAACUGCAAUUUUAUUAAACUGCACACAUUUCUAAGAUGGAUUGUGCAGUUAACUGGCAAAUUGGUCUGUGAGAGAAAUCAGUCUCCUUCCAGUCUGCAGGUGACUAGCACUGACCACAGGAGAUCAGCAAUCUGCAAGCAAGAGUUGUGGAGGAAAAGGUCACAUACCAUGCAACAGACUGAACAUGCCCUCCUUUGAGGACUGGCUUUGGAAGGAUAUGCAGGCAGUCUUCGUGGAGUGGUGACAGGGCGGCAUCCUUUAUGUAUAUAGGUCCUAAUUCUGAUGAUGUGCCUGAAGGAAAUUCAGUCAUACAGGACAGUGGAUCACGUGGAUGAUGACCUCUGAACAGAAAUCCAGGAGCACAAAACAGCAGCAUAUUUCAGGAAUCUUGGGGGCAAUUUUGGAGGCAAAGGAAGAGGAGAAGACAGGAGAGAGCGAAGGGAAACAGAACCAACCACUGUUUUGCACAACAGGCAUGCACCAGUAAGGUCAUCAACUUCAUAAAAUCUACGGGGAGAUAGUAAAGAUAUUGAAUGAAGGUGAAAUCUACAGUUAAAAAGAGAGUGUGUAAAUAGGUAAGAGUCAAAGAAGGUAGGAUUUAUGGCAUCAAUUUAAAAAUUAAAAACAAAUAACGUGGAAUGCUGAAAAAGGCACAUUAAACCAAAGAAUACUAAUUCCUUCAUAUGAAACAUUUGCUAUUUUAACUAAAACAUUCCUUUUUUAACUUAAAAAGAAUGUUGGAGGAGUAGUUGGUAGAACAGGGCAUUAGGCAAGCCAUUUAUACUGAAUACUUUAAUAAAUCAUCUUAUGUGGCUUAUCUUGAUCUCACAGUAUCAGUGUGUUAAACAAAUACAUCUGACCUUGAGUUAAAUCCUCUGGCUCAGGGUACUGCUGUUGAAAUGCAUUUGGUACGCACACUGAAAGCAAAGAGGCCUCAGAGGCAGGCCAGCAUGGUUUUAUUUUGGAAGUGUCAGGUGGGUAGUCUUGUCAAUAUUUUUGUUUUCUCCUCUUUUUUGGCAAUGAUUCAUGGUUUAAGCCAAGAUUUCUGUGCUACUGAAGCUGAAAAGGAGGUUGACGUGAGAAGAAUUAAAGCAGACACAGCUUUUCCGUGGUUGCUUCCGAUGGCUCUAACCAGAUAUCCUCCAAGAGCUUGCAUUGACAUUCUCCUCCUUUCACUGCUUUUGUGAAGAGUCGUUCUAAGCCAGAGAAUGAGGUAUAUCUUCAUUCACUGGAACAUAUGGUGUCAUCUCUAGCAAUUAUAGUCUUGGAAAUUUUUUUUUUUUAUGAAUGGUGUAUUGAAUCCAGAAUCCCUGCACUUAUUACGAAGAUAAAAAGUUUUCCCCUCCCCCCAGUCUGAUUUUAACUAAAAAAGAAUAAAAUAAAAGGGUAAGUUACUGGAGAGGAUUCUUUUUUUGAUGAUUUCAUUUCAACUCAUACCUGACCUGUGCUUAUGAAAGUUGUGGCAUGAAUUUACAUUGAAUAGCUUGCUGUAUUUUCUUGCUUCCUAAAUUUAUCUUUGUAAAAUUGGUUCCCCAAAACUGGGGAGGGAAUGAAAUCAUGGGGGAGAAAGGGAACCCUUCCCCCAUUUCAAAACAUUGUUCCUUUUUGCUAGUUAUUCAUGCAUAACGCUAGACCUCAGUGCCAUCCAUUAGCAAAAAUUGUCCCUUAGGUAAAAUGCACGUACAAUGUGAUUUCAUGUGGGUGCAGAGACUAGUACUGUUACACUAAAAUGCAGGUGAAACAUGAGGAAUAGAUAUCAUCUUUCACUGAUGUCUUGUGUACAAUAAAGCAAUUGUUUUGGAUAGUCAUAUGCAGAGACUGAUCUUUAAUUU